rnacentral:misc_RNA from 1 species
UGCCAUGCACUGUGAGGAGGAGAACGGGAUGCAGCCAAGGAUGACUUGCCGGCUCCUGGUAUUGGGGGAAUCUCAGCUUUGCUGAAGCGCCUUGGAGUUAGCCGGCAAGUCUGUCCUUGGCUACACCUAGCUCUCUUCUUCUAGCGUUUG